CGACGGGAGCUUGCUCCCCUAGGUCAGCGGCGGACGGGUGAGUAACACGUGGGUAACCUGCCUGUAAGACUGGGAUAACUCCGGGAAACCGGGGCUAAUACCGGAUGCUUGAUUGAACCGCAUGGUUCCAAUCAUAAAAGGUGGCUUUUAGCUACCACUUACAGAUGGACCCGCGGCGCAUUAGCUAGUUGGUGAGGUAACGGCUCACCAAGGCGACGAUGCGUAGCCGACCUGAGAGGGUGAUCGGCCACACUGGGACUGAGACACGGCCCAGACUCCUACGGGAGGCAGCAGUAGGGAAUCUUCCGCAAUGGACGAAAGUCUGACGGAGCAACGCCGCGUGAGUGAUGAAGGUUUUCGGAUCGUAAAACUCUGUUGUUAGGGAAGAACAAGUACCGUUCGAAUAGGGCGGCACCUUGACGGUACCUAACCAGAAAGCCACGGCUAACUACGUGCCAGCAGCCGCGGUAAUACGUAGGUGGCAAGCGUUGUCCGGAAUUAUUGGGCGUAAAGCGCGCGCAGGCGGUUUCUUAAGUCUGAUGUGAAGCCCCCGGCUCAACCGGGGAGGGUCAUUGGAAACUGGGGAACUUGAGUGCAGAAGAGGAGAGUGGAAUUCCACGUGUAGCGGUGAAAUGCGUAGAGAUGUGGAGGACACCAGUGGCGAAGGCGACUCUCUGGUCUGUAACUGACGCUGA
rnacentral:rRNA from 1 species